rnacentral:rRNA from 1 species
GACGAAGGGGGCUAGCGUUGUUCGGAUUUACUGGGCGUAAAGCGCACGUAGGCGGAUCUUUAAGUCAGAGGUGAAAUCCCAAGGCUCAACCUUGGAACUGCCUUUGAUACUGGGGAUCUUGAGUCCGGGAGAGGUGAGUGGAACUGCGAGUGUAGAGGUGAAAUUCGUAGAUAUUCGCAAGAACACCAGUGGCGAAGGCGGCUCACUGGCCCGGUACUGACGCUGAGGCACGAAAGCGUGGGGAGCAAACAGG